rnacentral:lncRNA from 1 species
UUAUUUCAAUGCUCUUUGUCAUAAUUUAAUUAAUUCUAAAAAGAAAACAGUCUUAUUUUCCUCUUUAAAAGCUCAUAAUGUACUUCUAUCGGUAUUUCUUGGAAACAUAAAAAACCGGAACCCUUUUUUUAAGAGUUGUUUCUAUAAUUCGGAGCUGAACAAUUUCCCGUAUCAGCAGAAAAUCACGAGAUACGAGCGUAAAGCAACUGCUGUUCGAAAAUGGCGGCUGAUGAAUAUACCUUCUAAUUUAGAACAACCCUCUUAUGCACGAAGUGAACGUCACCAGUCACCCUGAUCACCGUUUCCUUGGAAGUGAAACGAAAGUUUAGUACACAGGUGAGUCACGAGGAGUGACCUUCCUGCGAUUGGGUUCAGCGACCUGUUCCGCCUUCACGGGAGUUGAUUCACAGUAGGUCACGGAACAACUUCACAGUCAUAAAAAAAAAAGUAGAGAAAUUAUUCGCACAAGUGGUUUCUUUUACAUAGGAAAAUUAAUGGUGCAAAUAACUAAAGUUCCUUUUAAUGCAACUAGCAUUCGCCCAAAUGCCAUUAAUUUUCGUAAAUCGUAUGUAUGCAGAAUUUUUUUGCCCUUGGAAACAGUGAUAUUCUGUCUUUGGGAGUUGGCACUUGAUCAAAUUCUUAUCGUUAAUACGAGGUUUAAAAUUCAUAACUAUCUAAAAGAGAAACUGGCAGAUGAAGCAUACGCCGCAGCACAUUCCCAAUCCACAUAUUUCUACGUGAGCUUGGACCGUGCAGCAUUUUAAUGCCUGCUUUAACACCAGACGAAAAUUUGCAUAAAUGGCGUCGCCGCUCUGCCGUGCAGUUGUCGUCUUUCUAACUACAUUCAUUAUUAAGAGAACUGGCAGGAGUACCGCCAUCGCGUAAAACCGCGAAAAUAAAAAUCUGCGAAAAUCUAGAUGACUCGAUUUUUAUCUCACAAUCGGGGUCUCAUAAUUCUUAGAAAUUAAAUCAGUCCGUUCAUUGAUCUUAUUUUUUUUUAUAUCCGUUUGCUCACUGUUUGCAACAUGACAAUUCAUUUUUGUGUGGUGUCGAUUCAAUUUGCGGCUUCUUAAACGUAUCGAAUUUUCAUGUUUGAAGAGAAAAAGUCGAACGAUUAAAUUAUCUUAUUCUUCAAAC